GAUGAAGAACGUAGCGAAAUGCGAUACGUAAUGUGAAUUGCAGAAUUCAGUGAAUCAUCGAGUCUUUGAACGCACAUUGCGCCCCCUGGUAUUCCGGGGGGCAUGCCUGUCCGAGCGUCAUUGCUGCCCUCAAGCACGGCUUGUGUGUUGGGCCUCCGUCCUCCUCCCGGGGGACGGGCCCGAAAGGCAGCGGCGGCACCGCGUCCGGUCCUCGAGCGUAUGGGGCUUCGUCACCCGCUCUUGUAGGCCCGGCCGGCGCUUGCCGACACAUCAAUCUUUUUUCCAGGUUGCCCUCGGAUCAGGUAGGGAUACCCGCUGAACUUAAGCAUAUCAAUAAGCGGAGGA
rnacentral:misc_RNA from 1 species